rnacentral:rRNA from 1 species
UGCCUAAUACAUGCAAGUAGAACGCUGAAGCUUGGUGCUUGCACCGAGCGGAUGAGUUGCGAACGGGUGAGUAACGCGUAGGUAACCUGCCUCUUAGCGGGGGAUAACUAUUGGAAACGAUAGCUAAUACCGCAUAAAAGUCGAUAUCGCAUGAUAUUGAUUUGAAAGGUGCAAUUGCAUCACUAAGAGAUGGACCUGCGUUGUAUUAGCUAGUUGGUGAGGUAACGGCUCACCAAGGCGACGAUACAUAGCCGACCUGAGAGGGUGAUCGGCCACACUGGGACUGAGACACGGCCCAGACUCCUACGGGAGGCAGCAGUAGGGAAUCUUCGGCAAUGGGGGCAACCCUGACCGAGCAACGCCGCGUGAGUGAAGAAGGUUUUCGGAUCGUAAAGCUCUGUUGUAAGAGAAGAACGAGUGUGAGAGUGGAAAGUUCACACUGUGACGGUAACUUACCAGAAAGGGACGGCUAACUACGUGCCAGCAGCCGCGGUAAUACGUAGGUCCCGAGCGUUAUCCGGAUUUAUUGGGCGUAAAGCGAGCGCAGGCGGUUAGAUAAGUCU